UACGGAGGAUGCGAGCGUUAUCCGGAUUUAUUGGGUUUAAAGGGUGCGCAGGCGGCACGGCAAGCCGGCGGUCAAAUCGCGGGGCUCAACCCCGCCCAGCCGUCGGAACUGCCGGGCUAGAGUGGGCGAGAAGUGCGCGGAAUGCGUGGUGUAGCGGUGAAAUGCAUAGAUAUCACGCAGAACUCCGAUUGCGAAGGCAGCGCACCGGCGCCCUACUGACGCUGAGGCACGAAGGCCAGGGGAGCGAAAGGG
rnacentral:rRNA from 1 species